rnacentral:rRNA from 1 species
UACGUGGGCAGCAAGCGUUGUUCGGAAUUACUGGGCGUAAAGAGUGUGUAGGUGGUGUCGUAAGUUCUGUGUGAAAUCUCCCGGCUUAACUGGGAGGGUGCGCAGAAGACUGCGAUGCUCGAGUAUGGGAGAGGUAAGCGGAAUUCCUGGUGUAGCGGUGAAAUGCGUAGAUAUCAGGAGGAACACCUGUGGUGUAGACGGCUUACUGGACCAUCACUGACACUGAGACACGAAAGCGUGGGUAGCAAACAGG